rnacentral:rRNA from 1 species
GAGUUUGAUCAUGGCUCAGGACGAACGCUGGCGGCGUGCCUAAUACAUGCAAGUCGAACGGUCUUUUCUAUGGAAGCUUGCUUCCACUGAGAAGAUAGUGGCGGACGGGUGAGAACACGUGGGUAACCUGCCCAUAAGAGGGGGAUAACAUCCGGAAACGGGUGCUAAUACCGCAUAGUUUUCUUGAUCGCAUGAUCGAGAAAGGAAAGACGGCCUUUGUGCUGUCGCUUAUGGAUGGACCCGCGGCGUAUUAGUUAGUUGGUGAGGUAAUGGCUCACCAAGACGAUGAUACGUAGCCGACCUGAGAGGGUGAUCGGCCACAUUGGGACUGAGACACGGCCCAAACUCCUACGGGAGGCAGCAGUAGGGAAUCUUCCGCAAUGGACGAAAGUCUGACGGAGCAACGCCGCGUGAGUGAAGAAGGUUUUCGGAUCGUAAAACUCUGUUGUCAGAGAAGAACAAGUUGGAGAGUAACUGCUCCAGCCUUGACGGUAUCUGACCAGAAAGCCACGGCUAACUACGUGCCAGCAGCCGCGGUAAUACGUAAGUGGCAAGCGUUGUCCGGAUUUAUUGGGCGUAAAGCGAGCGCAGGCGGUUCCUUAAGUCUGAUGUGAAAGCCCACGGCUCAACCCGUGGAAUGGUCAUUGGAAACUGGGGAACUUGAGUGC